rnacentral:rRNA from 1 species
GAUGAACGCUGGCGGCGUGCCUAAUACAUGCAAGUCGAGCGAGCAGACGAGGAGCUUGCUCCUCUGACGUUAGCGGCGGACGGGUGAGUAACACGUGGAUAACCUACCUAUAAGACUGGGAUAACUUCGGGAAACCGGAGCUAAUACCGGAUAAUAUAUUGAACCGCAUGGUUCAAUAGUGAAAGACGGUUUUGCUGUCACUUAUAGAUGGAUCCGCGCCGCAUUAGCUGGUUGGUAAGGUAACGGCUUACCAAGGCAACGAUGCGUAGCCGACCUGAGAGGGUGAUCGGCCACACUGGAACUGAGACACGGUCCAGACUCCUACGGGAGGCAGCAGUAGGGAAUCUUCCGCAAUGGGCGAAAGCCUGACGGAGCAACGCCGCGUGAGUGAUGAAGGUCUUCGGAUCGUAAAACUCUGUUAUUAGGGAAGAACAAAUGUGUAAGUAACUAUGCACGUCUUGACGGUACCUAAUCAGAAAGCCACGGCUAACUACGUG